rnacentral:misc_RNA from 1 species
UCAACUUUGAAAGAAAUGAGAGCUGCUGGAUAUUCUUCAGCGGGCACCUCAUCAUUCUAAUAUUCCAGGUUUACUCGAAGACUUGAUGUUCGUGUAGAUGAAGGCAGAGUGUUGGCCAUGGAAGUCCUGAACUGUAAUCAAAUUUUUGUGGGUUGUCUAAAACAAAAGGAUUUUAUUAGGGUUCAUACCUUUGGUCCUACUGGGUACUUACAUGCGACUUCCAACAAUGUAAAUUUAGAUGCUGAUGAGGCCCUUUCAUUGAAAGUUGAAUUGGGAACUGGGAAUCUAUAGAUGUUAAGACGUCCCUUUACAUACAAGGUUAAAUGAUUGUUAUUUGUUAACUUGGUUUUUCUCCUCUUUUAUAUUAUUGCGUGAAUCUUGUUUUGUUUUGGAAUGAUUUACAUAUUGAAAAUGCUUCCAUGAAAAAAAAAAGAUUCACGCAAUAACAUAAAAGAGGAGAAAAACCAAGUUAACAAUAUAACAAUCAUUUAACCUUGUAUGUAAAGGGACGUCUUAACAUCUAUAGAUUCCCAGUUCCCAAUUCAACUUUCAAUGAAAGGGCCUCAUCAGCAUCUAAAUUUACAUUGUUGGAAGUCGCAUGUAAGUACCCAGUAGGACCAAAGGUAUGAACCCUAAUAAAAUCCUUUUGUUUUAGACAACCCACAAAAAUUUGACUACAGUUCAGGACUUCCAUGGCCAACACUCUGCCUUCAUCUACACGAACAUCAAGUCUUCGAGUAAACCUGGAAUAUUAGAAUGAUGAGGUGCCCGCUGAAGAAUAUCCAGCAGCUCUCAUUUCUUUCAAAGUUGAAGCUAACCAAUCCAAGCCCUCAUACAGGCCGUCUCCCCUCAGCGCACAAGUCCCUUGUAUGUGCCAUUUUCUGUUCUUGAGUUCAAAAAGGCCUAAUCCUUCACAUACUUCCAUUGGCGUCAUUGCUCCUUUCAUGUCCUGUUUGUUGGCAAAUACCAGGAUGACACUGUUGAGCAUAAAUGGAUCUUUGAUGAUGGCCUGAAACUCUGCUUUUGCUUUUCCAAUUCUCUCACGGUCCAAGGAAUCAACAACGUAGAUCAGUCCAUCUGUAUUAUUAAAAUAAUGCCUCCAGAGUGGCCUUAAUUUCUCUUGUCCACCAACAUCCCAAACAGUGAACAUCACAUUCUUAUACUGAACUUUCUCCACAUUGAACCCAAUUGUUGGAACAGUAGAUAAAACUUCUCCGAUGUGUAGCUUGUAAAGUAUGGUUGUUUUACCGGCUGCAUCCAGCCCUAACAUCACAACCCGCAUCUCAGAGUUGCCGAAGAAGGCAUCGAAGAGCUUGCGAAAGGCUUGACCCAUUGCGUGGCGCCGCCUCCCUAAUUCUGAAACUGCGGGUUUUGAUUUUGGUCUUCGAAUUUGGAUUCUUUUUAUCUCUCUACGCU